GUAUAGUGACACAGUAACAGAGGGAUUGAGGGCCCUGCUCAGUGAGUUGACAUGUUAGAGGGAGUGAGGUAUAGUGACAGUAACAGAGGGAUUGAGGGCCUGCUCAGUGAGUUUACAUGUUAGAGGGAGUGGGGUAUAGUGACACAGUAACAGAGGGAUUGAGGGCCCUGCUCAGUGAGUUUACAUGUUAGAGGGAGUGGGGUAUAGUGACACAGUAACA